GACGAACGCUGGCGGCGUGCUUAACACAUGCAAGUCGAACGGAAAGGCCCUGCUUGCAGGGUAUUCGAGUGGCGAACGGGUGAGUAACACGUGGGUGAUCUGCCCUGCACUUCGGGAUAAGCCUGGGAAACUGGGUCUAAUACCGGAUAGGAGCCAUUUUUAGUGUGAUGGUUGGAAAGUUUUUUCGGUGUAGGAUGAGCUCGCGGCCUAUCAGCUUGUUGGUGGGGUAAUGGCCUACCAAGGCGGCGACGGGUAGCCGGCCUGAGAGGGUGGACGGCCACAUUGGGACUGAGAUACGGCCCAGACUCCUACGGGAGGCAGCAGUGGGGAAUAUUGCACAAUGGGCGCAAGCCUGAUGCAGCGACGCCGCGUGGGGGAGGACGGCCUUCGGGUUGUAAACUCCUUUCGCUAGGGACGAAGCUUUUUGUGACGGUACCUAGAGAAGAAGCACCGGCUAACUACGUG
rnacentral:rRNA from 1 species